rnacentral:rRNA from 1 species
UACGUAGGUGGCAAGCGUUGUCCGGAUUUAUUGGGGUUAAAGGGUGCGUAGGCGGCCCUGUAAGUCAGUGGUGAAAUACUCUAGCUUAACUAGAGGGGUGCCAUUGAUACUGCAGGGCUUGAGUACAGACGAGGUAGGCGGAAUUGACGGUGUAGCGGUGAAAUGCAUAGAUAUCGUCAAGAACUCCGAUAGUGAAGACAGCUUACUAGGCUGUAACUGACGCUGAGGCACGAAAGUGUGGGGAUCAAACAGG